rnacentral:rRNA from 1 species
UACGGAGGGUGCAAGCGUUAUCCGGAUUCACUGGGUUUAAAGGGUGCGUAGGUGGGAUGGUAAGUCAGUGGUGAAAUCUCCAAGCUUAACUUGGAAACUGCCGUUGAUACUAUCAUUCUUGAAUCUCGUGGAGGUAAGCGGAAUAUGUCAUGUAGCGGUGAAAUGCUUAGAUAUCGUCUGGAACGCCAAUGGUGAAGACAGGUUGCUGGGGGUGCGCUGACGCUGAGACACGAAAGCCAGGGGAGCAAACGGG